UAAUGGUGCUGAAUAACUCGAUGUGCUUUGCCUCGCUCUAGUUACUACGCAGUAAUUUUGCUUGCGCCGCAUGAGGCUAUGUUCAUCUGUGACGGGGCUGAUUUAGAAACUAUAAACAGUGAUAGAAGUUCGGUGUCAGUCUUCCAUGACAAUCUCGUUCCCAAUGAUAUUAUAUAUUUAAAACAAGACAGUUUUGAAAACUACGUGUAAUUUUCGCCUGAUGAUGAUUUUGAAAUAAUUUCAAAAUUUUUCUGGUUCUAAAAUUAAAAAUUGCUUGCACAGCGGUUGAACAGUCCGAAAAUACCGUUAAUUUUUU